rnacentral:guide_RNA from 1 species
AUAAAAUGUAUUUGUCGACGAGUUAAAUGGAUGUAGAAGAUAUCAGUGAU